GGUCAGUUAGCUCAGUGGUUUGAGCGCAGUGCUGGCAACAAGGAUCAACACUGAGAUCACGGGUUCGAUUCCUGCUCGGUCCC
rfam:Apaloderma vittatum contig70126, whole genome shotgun sequence.